GUAGUUUGUUCUAAUACCAUGCUAAUGACUUUCUAGAGUAUCUAAUUGAGGUGCUUAUCAUAUUUAUAUGUGGCUAAGUUAUGAUCAGAUUAAUUAUCUUUGUCACUAUUCAUUACUUCAUAUAUCUUUUAUGUGACACUUACCCCUGUAUGAAAGAGUUAGAUAAAUGUUCUCAAUUAUACAUGCAAUGAUAGAUACUCAAUCUCAUAUUCUAUUCUGUAAUCAAUAUUGAUGAUUGCUAAUCCCUUCCCAGUGGUAAAAAUAUAAAUAACGAUACCUGGAAUACUUCCCGGUUAAAAUGCUACAUCGGUAUUGAUCUGUGCGCUUGCAGAUCCUAUUCAUUAUUUAUUUAGAAGAGCAAUUGCAUAUUUCAAUUCCGCGUCUCUCAUGUCAUGCUGGGGAUGAAAACUUGGCUUAAGUGGUAUGAGGGAUAGGUUUGGCAUUUUUGGCACCGUUACUAGAAUUAGAAAACUAAGUCUAUUUUUGGUAAUGAUGUUAAGAAUACCCAACAAGCAUUUUUGGCGCCGUUGACGGGGAAGGUUGAUUACUAAUCAAGAAUGGAUAUAGGAUUUUGAGUUAUCAUUCGCAUCACUAAUAUGAUUGAGCUUAUCUAUUCUCUCAUACAGUUUUACCCCGAUAUUUUUCUAUUUUAUCUUAUGAAGGGGAAUGUAUGAAUAGAAGACAUCUUCCAGGAAAUUUUGUUGACAAUCCCGAAGCAUUAUUUAGAAAAACUAGAGCCAAGCUCAAGAAGAGAUCAUCAACACUUCAGCACGAAGCUUCAUCCAAUCAAGAAGAUCACCGGAACUUGUCUUCAGAGUUCGAAGCCAUGGCGAACAAAUCGAUCCGCGAGUUCUCAGCUCCCACUACGGACAACAUCCGCACUGGACCUGUUGCAGAGAUCGAUGGCAACUUUGAGCUCAAACCUGGACUUAUCUACUUGGUGCAAUCCAACCAGUUCUGUGGAAGGCACACGAAGAUGCUAGUGCUCAUCUCCAACACUUCCUAGAGAUUUGCAGCAUAUUUACCAUAUCAGGAGUCCCCAGAGAUGCUAUACUACUUCGCCUCUUCCAUUCUCACUGUUAGGGAGAGCGAAGCAGUGGUUCUACGCUACAAAGGAGAAGAAUACUACAUGGGCACUCUGCUCAACAAUCUUCCUGGCUAUGUUCUUUCCCAUGGGCAAGACCAAUGCUCUCCGUGGGAAGAUUACAAGUUUUCAACAACAAAAUGAUGAAUCUGUUCCAGAAGCAUGGGAGCGCUUCCAAGACUACAUCCGAGAAUGUCCUCAUCAUGGAAUGGAGAGUUGGCUACUGAUGCAGACAUUUUAUCAUGGGCUCGGCAACAGUGCCCGAGAAACCAUGGAUGCUGCAGCUGGAGGAGCAUUCUUAUCACUUACCAUACCACAAGCCACAGCUCUUGUGGAGAAGAUGGCGUCCAACCAAGGCUGGAAUGAAGAGAGGACCCAUACACGCAAGAGAGGUGGAGGUAUGCAUCAACUCAAGGAGGUAGACAUGCUAUCUGCAAAGCUAGACCUGCUUAUGAAGAAGCUCGAUGAUAGAGCUGGAGACAAGAAAGAAGUUAUGCACAUCUACGACUCUCACAUGACUUGUGAGGAGUGUGGAGAUACUGGACACUCAGGCAACCACUGCCCUGAGAUGCUUCAGGAUGUGAGCUACAUCAACAACAACGACUACUACUACUACAACCGUCCUCAACAAAAUCAAUGUUGGAAUCAAUAGAGGCCUAACUACUCAGGUAAUUAUCAAGGUAACAAUUCUUACAACAAUAAUAAUUAUUUUCCACCUCUGAGAGAGUUAGUGUCUAAUCAAGGAAAGCUAAUGGAUAACCUGUCUAAGAAAUUGGCAUCUAAUGAUAAAAUGCUAGAAAAUAUAAAUAAUAGAAUGGAUAAUUUCUGUACUGCCAUCAAGAAUCAAAUUAGCUUUAAUAAAAUGAUUGAAUCUCAGUUAAAUCAAGUAGCUGCUGUUGUUCCUACUACUAAACCUGGUAUACCAUCACAACCGGAAGAAUUAGAAUCUGCAAAUCAUGUAGACAUGUUUGAUGCAGGUAAUUGGAGUAACCACGUCACUGAAUUCACUACAGACCUUUUGCCGGUCAAGAGAGGCGAUCCAGGCCGCCCCGUCAUCCCAAUCUCCAUCGGCAUGGUGGACAUUCCAGAAGCACUCUGCGACUUUGGCUCCAGCGUCAACAUUAUACCCAGGGUACUCUAUGAAAAAUUCUUUACAUAUCCUUUAUUAGAAACAACCAUGUGUUUGCAGUUUGCAGAUCAGGCAUUAAGUUUUCCAAAAGGAAUAUUGAAGAACCUUUGUGUCCGAGUUGGUACCUUGUAUUCCCUAGUAGACUUCGUGGUGAUAGAGACCGGUAAUGAUGAGAGAGCACCCAUCAUCUUAGGGAGGCCAUUCUUGAACACCUCGGAAGCUGUCAUCUACGCUAGUGCUGCCAAGAUCAGUUUCUACAUCAAAGGGAGGAAGGAGACGUUUUUCUUCAAGAACAAGACUACACAAAUCCCAGAGCAAUCCAGACGUGAAUCAAGGAAGAGGACCAACAGGAGGAACAGGAACAAGCAAGUGUGGACCGAGUCAGCUAAGAUGGUCGCUGCAGUUCAUGGAGGUCAAGAUCAUCAACUUAAGUCACAAUUUUUGACCAAGAAGGAUGACCCAGGAAUGUCAAGCAUCUACUGCUCCAUAAAUGGAUACAGCUUCUACAAGACGUUUUGCGACACCGGAUCGGGCGUCAACAUAAUGGCCGUGGUCACCUAUCGGCUCUUGUUCGGAACCAUGCCCCUAAAACCAACAUACAUUCAGCUCCAGAUGGCAGAUCAGACAUUUUGAGAAGUUAAAGGAACAGUAACUGAUGUCCCAGUCAAAAUAGACGAUCAUUUUGUCUACACAGACUUUCAGGUUAUUGACAUGGGAGAAGAUGAAUAUGAUCCACCCAUCAUCCUUGGAAGACCGUUCCUCAGCACCGUCAAAGCAAUCAUCUACAUUGGAACUGGAGAAGUCCAUAUGCACUUCCCCUCAGAGAAGGUACGCCGUUAUUUUAUUGACCCUAACUAUAUCGUUGAAGAAUCUAAGCAGGUCAGAAAACGACGCAACCGCAACCAGAGGAGGCAGAUCAUCAAGGACGGAAGGGCAGACUAUGAAGGAAAAGUGAUAAGGUCAGAAGACGUAUAAUUUAAACAGAACUAUCCUGAGGAGACCAUAGCACCAAGUCACGUGUGGAAAGAGCAGAUAACCAUACAUGAAGAAGAGGCGCUGCCGAACGUACCGACUCCGCCACCCAACGAAUCCCAGGACAAUUGAGAAAGAGGAGAGUCCCGUUCGGAAGACUUAAAAAUACCGAACGCCUUGCCAAGAGGUAAACUUGGUAGUUAUCCUUUCCCUUUCAAUUAUUUUAAACAAUUUGCUUAGUUAAUCAUAUUCAUGCUAUCAUAAAAAGAAAAUUAAAAUGUUAAAAAACAGUAAGCCCCAUGUGAGUAUACGAGUGGCAUAAAAUCCAUAAGUACAUUCACUGUGGUGGCAUAAAAAUAAAAUAAAUAUUUUUCUGCUCUAUAAAAAUGAAAAUAUAAUAACAGGGAGUAAUAAUUAUUAAGGAGUCUCAACAUGAUAAAGGCUAGAUAUUUAUGCUGACACUUAAUCAGUUCCACAAAGCUUUGUUGUCUAUUUGAGCUCUAUAGAAUUUAAGAAUCAAGAAGAUUAGCAGACGGAGGACAUUCUAAUCGCUGUCAGAAUGCUGCUGACUUUCAAAUACACCUCUGCCACCUGCUAGCUACAUCAAGAGAAAUUACGUCAAAAUUCAGCUUGGGGGAGAGCACCCCAUUUAUCCCGCUAAGUUUUUCUAUCUAUCUUUAUACUUAUACUAUGUUAAGUUAUAACUAUGGAAAACCAAAUAAAGAUGUUGUGCUUAUAUAUAUAUAUAUAUCUGUUGCUUAGUUUAAUAAAUAAAUAAAAUGGCUAUGCUAAUCUGUAUCUAAAUAAAACUCUAGCAUGGAUAUGAUGAAUAGUUGCUCUGCCUAAUUUUUAAAAUUUUAAGUUCUCUCUCAAGUUUAGACAUAACUGUUAUAAUUUAAAGCUUGCUCUAGACCUAAACUUGUGGGAUGAAAACUUGAUCUGAAGUCUAAGUUGUUAACGGAUAUGAUAUGAGAAGGUUGAGUUGCUGUUUAUCUGUUCCUAGCAUCUCUGGAGAAUUUGAUCUUUGAAAAUCUUUAAAAUGUUGCAUGAUGAGUUCCUGUAUGAUGAGAAUUUUAAAUUCCUACCACAUCCAUAUAUACAUGCUUGCUAGACUUUGAGCCACACAUUUACUUUUUACUGCUUAUGAGCAUUGAGUGUGGUCAAGCUCUGUAGACCCUUAGGAGCUUGUCAUGUGGUUAAAUCAAGAUUCACUUGCACAUUCACUCAUAUAUGCUACUUCUACUCUGGAAGUACCAUCCACAUAUAUCCACUCAUCUCCAUCUCCAGAAUCACCUAAAAAUAUUCUACUCCUAAUCCGGAAGAGAAUAACAAAAAAUAUUUCUGUUUUUCCCUUGUGAAAUAAAUGCUCAAGUUAUCUUGUUACUACCACUUGCUAUAUUAUCUCAAGAGAUGAGUGCUCUAAAAAAAGGAUACGAGGAAAUAAAAAGGGGCAAGUGCUCAGAACCUCGAAAGAAAAGAAAAAGUGAGACGAGUGGUAAAAAUGGACAAGUGUUCGAUAGUAGAAUUAGGGGUACAAGAUACCCACCUGAGAGAAAAGAAAAAUAAGAGCAUCUCAUUCUCCUCGUAAAGUUUCAGAAAGCAAGAAAGGUAUGUAUCCCCUCAAAGAGCAAAAGAAUUAGACUUCCACUAUUGUUAUCACCAUCAUCACCAUACAUCAUUCAUUCGCCACACAUGCACAUCUUGAUUUGACUUAUUGAUUUGUUUCUUUGGAUCCAUGGUUUGACUAUGCAAUAAAUGUCUUGUGAGUAUGUAUACUUUAUCUCCCACCUAUGAGCUCCGGAUAUUAAAGCCUUAUUAGAGUAGGGUGAGAGAGAGAAGACAAUGAGAGAAGGCAUAUACCAUCACUGCCAUGGUAAGGAUCCAGAAAUACCACAAAAGAGAGAUUUUAGAGAGUCAUAUAAGGAAUUUCUGAGUUUUAUUUGAAAAUCUGCAACAACUCCAGAGCUAUAGCUGAUCAAGAAUAAGAGACAUGGCACUUGACUAGACUGUUCUAUCUUUUAACUACUCAAGACAGAAGAGACGGUUACAAGUCCCAUGGUGAAAGGUAAAGUAAGUAAGUAUUAAGUCUUGACAGCUUACUCUAUCUUAGAGAUAAGAUCUUAUUUAAAAGCAUGUGUACCGUCAAUUUUUAAAACAUGUUGCAACAACUUCUCAUCCCGUACUGAGUCUAUCCUUGCUCAGGGAUGAGCAAGAGGUAAGCUUGGGGGAGUUUGUUGACGGUCCUUAAGUAUCAAAUUUAAUUAUCAAAUAAACAAAGAAAAUGAUCCAAAUGAAAUCAACAUCUAGACUUAGGGUUUUAUCUGACAGAAUUCCACGAGUUUUGGUGUUUGUCUAUUUCUGCAGGGGGUUAUCAGGGAAUACGGAAGAAAGGCCCACACGUCGGGAUUACAUAGAGAUAUUAACGUGCCGCGCAAUUAUCUUACAUCUAGAAGACUCCAGAAGACACAGGAAGGAAGAGGAGGCCAAACGGGGCCAGGCACUGGGCGCCUGCCCAGUUGCCUUGGGCGCCUGCCCUCCUGCUGAGUCCAAUCAGGACUCUGUUUCGGGAAAGAUCUCCACCGACCUAAGGGAUCAAGGAUAACCGUUCAAUCAAUGUCAGUUUGAUCCAACGGCCCAUAUUCACUUGAAGGGACUAUAAAACCAGACCCCCUGGCCCCUGGAGGAGAGAGCCUCUCAACCCUAAUUUAUUAUUCCUCAAUGGAGAAGAAGCCUCUGAUCAAGAUUAGAGCCACCACAUCAAUUAGACAUCUAGAUUAGCAUAGUUACAUAGGAUUUGAACUAGAAGGAGUCAAUCUUCGAUUGGUUUCCGGAUCUGUCAAGAGGAUUCUUGGUAAUUCUCUAAUUGUGCUUCUAAUUGUUCUUCUAAUCAUCUUUGUUCUUCAAUAUUAUGAAUAUGACUUUGUUCUACUUCAAUAUAUUGCUUAUGACUUUGCUCUACUUGUUUAUAUUCAAGAUUAUAUUGUUCUUAGUUUAUCAUAGUUAUGUACUUGGCUUAGUUAGAUUGGAUCUAUAUACAUGCUUAGGAUCGUAUAGCAUUUAUCCAUCGGAUCCAUGGGUAAAUGAUAGAUAUUGUGUAGGCGUGGUGCUUAUAACGUAUUUAUCUGCGAUUGUACCCAAUAUGCUAGAUCGUGGGGUAGUUCAUGAUAGUGACAGCUUCAUUGAUUCUUAUAUAGUCCCCCUCUCGUGUAUUGGGCUCGCAGAGCAACAUUAUUACACGGGAGUGAUUGCUAUGUUUCUCAUUUACCUUGCUAAUAUCACUAUGCAUGGGUGUAGUCUUGUCUCACAAUGAUUGCUAAGUAUGCUUGCACUAAUUAUGAUAAUGCUAGACUAUAUAGUUGAGAAUAACUUAGGAAAUAUUCUUGUAGUUCGUUCUAAUACCAUGCUAAUGACUUUCUAGAGUAUGUAAUUGAGGUGCUUAUCAUAUUUAUAUGUGGCUAAGUUAUGAUCAGAUUAAUUAUCUUUGUCACUAUUCAUUACUUCAUAUAUCUUUUAUGUGACACUUACCUCUGUAUGAAAGAGUUAGAUAAAUAUUCUCAAUUAUACAUGCAAUGAUAGAUACUCAAUCUCAUAUUCUAUUCUGUAAUCAAUAUUGAUGAUUGCUAAUCUUUUCCCAGUGGUAAAAAUAUAAAUAACGAUACCUGGAAUACUUUCCGGUUAAAAUGCUACAUCGGUAUUGAUCUGUGCGCUUGCAGAUCCCAUUCAUUAUUUAUUUAGAAGAGCAAUUGCAUAUUUCAAUACCGCGUCUCUCAUGUCAUGCUGGGGAUGACAACUUGGCUUAAGUGGUAUGAGGGAUAGGUUUGGCAUUUUUGGCACCGUUACUAGAAUUAGAAAACUAAGUCUACUUUUGGUAAUGAUGUUAAGAAUACCCAACAACGACGACAACAGCGGUGCAAAGGUUACAACGACGAGUACUAGGGUUCUUUCUCUAUCUUAUUUUUGGGUGACGAACUAAACAGGGCCUAAUAUACAUAUACAUUAUGAAUUUUUUCUUUCUCUGUUUUUUCAUAUGUUUUUUCAUUUUUUUUUCUUUCUCCAGGGCCUUGUUUAGUUUCAAAAAAAUUUACAAAAUUUUCCAGAUUCUCCGUCGCAUCGAAUAUUUAUACUCAUGCAUGAAGUAUUAAAUAUAGACGAAAAUAAAAACUAAUUACACAGUUUGGUCGGAAUUGACGAUACGAAUCUUUUGAGCCUAGUUAGUCCAUGAUUAGACAAUAUUUGUCAAAUACCAACGAAAAUGCUACAGUGUCGAUUUUCCAAAGAAUUUUAGAACUAAACAAGGCCAGAAAAGGCCGGGCAUGUGGG
rnacentral:lncRNA from 1 species